rnacentral:rRNA from 1 species
AGUGAACGCUGGCGGUAUGCCUAACACAUGCAAGUCGAACGGCAGCACAGUAAGCGCUUGCUCUUACGGGUGGCGAGUGGCGGACGGGUGAGGCAUACAUCGGAAUCUACUUUUUCUUGGGUGAUAACGUAGGGACACUUACGCUAAUACCUCAUACGACCUACGGGUGAAUGCAGGGGAUCUUCGGACCUUGCGCGAUUGAUUGAGCCGAUGUCGGAUUAGCUAGUUGGCGGGGUAAAGGCCCACCAAGGCGACGAUCCGUAGCUGAUCUGAGAGGAUGAUCAGCCACACUGGAACUGAGACACGGUCCAGACUCCUACGGGAGGCAGCAGUGGGGAAUAUUGGACAAUGGGCGCAAGCCUGAUCCAGCCAUACCGCGUGGGUGAAGAAGGCCUUCGGGUUGUAAAGCCCUUUUGUUGGGAAAGAAAAGCAGCAGGUGAAUACCCCGAUGUUCUGACGGUACCCAAAGAAUAAGCACCGGCUAACUUCGUG